GCCAUCAGCCAUAGUACGUUGAAUACGCCGGUUAUUGUCUGAUCACCGAAGCUAAAUAAUUUUGGGUCUGUGUAAUACUUGGAAUGUAGGCCGCUGCAUAACAGUUGGUGUUGAUGGUA
rnacentral:rRNA from 1 species